GAUGAACGCUGGCGGCGUGCCUAAUACAUGCAAGUCGAGCGAACAGACGAGGAGCUUGCUCCUCUGACGUUAGCGGCGGACGGGUGAGUAACACGUGGAUAACCUACCUAUAAGACUGGGAUAACUUCGGGAAACCGGAGCUAAUACCGGAUAAUAUAUUGAACCGCAUGGUUCAAUAGUGAAAGACGGUUUUGCUGUCACUUAUAGAUGGAUCCGCGCCGCAUUAGCUAGUUGGUAAGGUAACGGCUUACCAAGGCGACGAUGCGUAGCCGACCUGAGAGGGUGAUCGGCCACACUGGAACUGAGACACGGUCCAGACUCCUACGGGAGGCAGCAGUAGGGAAUCUUCCGCAAUGGGCGAAAGCUUGACGGAGCAACGCCGCGUGAGUGAUGAAGGUCUUCGGAUCGUAAAACUCUGUUAUUAGGCAAGAACAAAUGUGUAAGUAACUAUGCACGUCUUGACGGUACCUACUCAGAAAGCCACGGCUAACUACGUG
rnacentral:rRNA from 1 species